rnacentral:rRNA from 1 species
CCUACGGGAGGCAGCAGUGGGGAAUUUUGGACAAUGGGCGAAAGCCUGAUCCAGCCAUUCCGCGUGAGUGAAGAAGGCCUUCGGGUUGUAAAGCUCUUUCGCAAGGGAAGAAAACUUAGUCUCUAACAUAGACUGAGGUUGACGGUACCUUGAUAAGAAGCACCGGCUAACUACGUGCCAGCAGCCGCGGUAAUACGUAGGGUGCGAGCGUUAAUCGGAAUUACUGGGCGUAAAGCGUGCGCAGGCGGUUUUGUAAGUCAGAUGUGAAAUCCCCGAGCUCAACUUGGGAACUGCGUUUGAAACUACAAGACUAGAAUAUGUCAGAGGGGGGUAGAAUUCCACGUGUAGCAGUGAAAUGCGUAGAGAUGUGGAGGAAUACCAAUGGCGAAGGCAGCCCCCCUGGGAUAAUAUUGACGCUCAUGCACGAAAGCGUGGGGAGCAAACAGGAUUAGAUACCCUGGUAGUCCACGCCCUAAACGAUGUCUACUAGUUGUUGGUGGAGUAAAAUCCAUGAGUAACGCAGCUAACGCGUGAAGUAGACCGCCUGGGGAGUACGGUCGCAAGAUUAAAACUUCAAAUUGAAAUUGACGG